UUUUCUAAGAGGUUCUUUUAAAAAUGACACCAACUCCUAGCUAGGGGGGAUUCUUUAAGGAAAUAUGUCAUUUUCUUGUCUAGAACUCAAUGAGUUCACAGAAAAAUCAGGGCAGGACUGAAAGGAUGUGGAAUAAAAGACCCAGUUAAUGCCUAGAAGAUGCCAAAUUGGAAAACGUUACUUUCCUGAUGCCAUCCAUCACCGCAAAUGGCUCAGCAGGCAAGAGCCCGUCUCAAGCUGGCAGUCUUGCCAUUGAAAUAGAUCAUUUCAACAAGAGCAGCGGAGUCACAGAGCUCAGCACGGCUGGGGACAUUCCACAGACCAGCUCAGCAUUAGGAAGCUAAAGACAUGGUGAUUCUAAAAGUUAGCUCUGAGAAAAUAAAGUCACGCUGAACAAGAUCCUUGGUGAAUCACCAGAAACAGAGCAGAUCUUAUCAUUCCCAGGAGAAUUGGGGUUCAGAAGCCGGUCCAGAGCUCCAGGGAACGUUUGAUUUGGCUGAGAUCUGUCUAACGUAUGUGAAGAAUCUUCCCAUCAAAAUCAGAAGACUGGAGAGAUGGGUCAGUCGAUAAAAUGCUUGCUGUGCAGGCUGGAGGACUUGAGUUUGGAUCCCUGGCCCUCACAUGAGAGCUAGGUGCAAUGGCCUGCAUCUGUAACCCUAACACUUGGGGUGUGGGGGAGACAGGCCGAACCCGAGGACUUAUUGGUCACCAAGACUAGCAGAAAUGAUGGGUUCCAGGAUUACUGAGAGACUCUGUCUCAAAAAACAAGAGUUGUAUGUGAGGUGAGGAUGGGAUGGACAAAUCAUUUACUGAGAAUCCUGCACCAGCAUCAACACUGGACUUCAGAUGCCCGUCACCCACAGAAAUGCCCGCCACGAAUGGCUGCCCACCCUUGGUAAUACCUGCAUUUAGGAGGCAGACACAGGGGAUCCUUGGGACAAGCUGGCUAGCUCUGCCUUCAAGUGAGAGACCCUGCCUCAAUAUAUAAGGUGAAGAGUGACUGAGGAAGACACUUAGCAUCAACCUUUGACCUUCAUGCUUGCAUACAUGGGCAUGCAUACACCUCCACACAUAUGCACACAUACAUCACAUACACAAGAAAAAAAGAAGGAAUAAAGUCUUUUGCACAUACAGGGAAUAAGCCUCGGUUAUCAGGACAGAUCACAGAAAAGGCCACCUCAUUACACAGCCAUCCUGGAUAAAUGGGGCAUUACUCCAUA